rnacentral:rRNA from 1 species
GACGAACGAUGGCGGCGGGCUUAACACAUGCAAGUCGAGCGGAGCGGCGAACGGGUGAGUAACGCGUGAGUAACUGCCCCCCUCUCUGGGAUAACAGUUGGAAACGGAUGCUAAUAACGGAUAGUGGGGGAUGACUCGCGUCCUAUCAGUUUGUUGGUGGGGUAGUGGCAUACCAAGGCGACGAAGGGUAGCCGGCCUGAGAGGGCGGCCGGCCACAUGGGUCUGAGAUACGUCCCAAACUCCGACGGGAGGCAGCAGUGGGGAAUAUGGCACAAUGGGGGAAACCCUGAUGAAGCAACGCCGGGGGCGGGAUGACGGUCUUCGGGUUGUAAAAAUCUUUUUUAUGGGAUGCAGUACCAUAAGCAUAAGGUCCGGCUAAAUACGUGCCAGCAGCCGCGGUAAUUAC